rnacentral:SRP_RNA from 1 species
CGGGUCUUGCGCAAUGAAUCUCUGUGAACCGUGUCAGGUCGGGAACGAAGCAGCACUAAGCAGAUGUGUUCAUGUGCCGCAAGGAAGCCUGGUU